UUGGAUGAUGAUCACAAGACAUGCAAAGGCAUUCCUCAAGCUUAAGUUAUCAUGUGGAAUCUGUCAAAUCAUUAAGUUUCAGCCUUGUCUGACA
rnacentral:snoRNA from 1 species